AACGAACGCUGGCGGCAUGCCUAACACAUGCAAGUCGAACGAGACCUUCGGGUCUAGGGGCGCACCGGUACGUGACACGUGGGAAGCUGCCCGUAGGUUCGGAAUAACUCCCCGAGGGAGGUGCUCAUACCGGUGAAUGUCUUCGCACCAAAGAGUUCUCGCCGUUGGGUGGGGCCGCGUUAGAUUAGUUGGUUGGUAGGGUACAAGCAUACCAAGGCGACGAUGCAGAGCUGGUCUGAGAGGAUGAUCAGCCACACUGGGACUGAGACCCGGCCCAGACUCCGACGGGAGGGAGCAGUGGGGAAUAUUGGACGAUGGGCGAUAGCCUGAUACAGCAACGUCGCGUGAGUGAUGCAGGGGUUAGUGUUGUAAAGCCGUUUUACCCGGGAUGAUAAUGACAGUACCGGGAGAAUAAGCACCGGCUAACUACGUG
rnacentral:rRNA from 1 species